rnacentral:rRNA from 1 species
GUGCCUAACACAUGCAAGUCGAGCGGUAACAGGUGUAGCAAUAUAUGCUGACGAGCGGCGAACGGGUGAGUAAUGCUUCGGAAUCUGCCCAAUGGUGGGGAAUAACCAGCCGAAAGGUUGGCUAAUACCGCAUAAGUCCUACGGGGGAAAGCAGGGGAUCGAAAGACCUUGCGCCGAUGGAUGAGCCGAAGUCGGAUUAGCUAGUUGGUAGGGUAACGGCCUACCAAGGCGACGAUCCGUAGCUGGUCUGAGAGGACGACCAGCCACACUGGGACUGAGACACGGCCCAG